AGGGAUGUAGCUCAAUGGUAGAGCACUUGCCUCACAUGCACGUAGGCCCUAAGUUCAAUUCCCAGCACCACAA
rnacentral:tRNA from 1 species